UCAGACGAUGCGUCAUGCAUAUCAAUAAGCGGAGGAAAAGAAACUAACAAGGAUUCCCCUAGUAACGGCGAGUGAAGCGGGAAGAGCUCAAAUUUGAAAUCUUAAAGGGUUUCCCUUUACGAAUUGUAGUUUAAAGAAGUGUUUUCUGUUGAGGUUUUGGUAAAAGUUCUUUGGAAUAGGACAUCAUAGAGGGUGAGAAUCCCGUAUUUGACCUUUACUUUCAACUUUGUGAUACACUUUCAAAGAGUCGGAUUGUUUGGGAAUGCAGUCCAAAAUGGGUGGUAAAUUUCAUCUAAAGCUAAAUAUUGGCGAGAGACCGAUAGCGAACAAGUACCGUGAGGGAAAGAUGAAAAGAACUUUGAAAAGAGAGUUAAACAGUACGUGAAAUUGUCAAAAGGGAAGCGUUUGACACCAGUGUUGUUUUUCUGAAAAUCAAUUAAAGAACUGUUUAUGCUAAGCUGUUUAGACUUUAUCAGCUAUCUGUUUAGCUUUUGAGCUUUUCUUUAAUGCACUUUUCAGUUAACAAGUCAACAUCAAUUUCUUUUGCUGUAAAAAAGCUUGAGGAAGGUGGCUUGAGAUUCGUCUUAAGUGUUUAUAGCCUCUUGCCUAUGCAGUCGGAGAGAUUGAGGUCUGCAGCGUAGAUCCUUCGGGGCUAAAUGCAUUUGUGCUAAGUUAUAGCAUUUUAUAGACAACUUGUUGACUAUGAUUUGUCUUGUAGCUUACUCGCUUAUGUUAUUUUACCUACGCUUAGGAUGUUGACACACGCGCGUGCUCG
rnacentral:rRNA from 1 species